rnacentral:rRNA from 1 species
CCUACGGGAGGCAGCAGUGGGGAAUAUUGGGCAAUGGGCGCAAGCCUGACCCAGCAACGCCGCGUGAAGGAAGAAGGCUUUCGGGUUGUAAACUUCUUUUAAGAGGGAAGAGCAGAAGACGGUACCUCUUGAAUAAGCCACGGCUAACUACGUGCCAGCAGCCGCGGUAAUACGUAGGUGGCAAGCGUUGUCCGGAUUUACUGGGGGUAAAGGGCGUGCAGCCGGGAAGACAAGUCAGAUGUGAAAUCCCGCGGCUCAACCGCGGAACUGCAUUUGGAACUGUUUUGCUUGAGUACCGGAGAGGUCAUCGGAAUUCCUUGUGUAGCGGUGAAAUGCGUAGAUAUAAGGAAGAACACCAGUGGCGAAGGCGGAUGACUGGACGGCAACUGACGGUGAGGCGCGAAAGCGUGGGGAGCAAACAGGAUUAGAUACCCCAGUAGUC